CUGCUGAUGGUCCUGCCAAAGGUUCGAGACAUGGGGAACCAACUCCUUUGCGUCCAAGAUCAACAAGAAAAAGGAAGCCAACUCUCAAGAGCAUUACUGAAUUAUAAAUGUGUUGUAUGGCUCCA